AUGAACGCUGGCGGCGUGCCUAAUACAUGCAAGUCGAGCGAACAGACGAGGAGCUUGCUCCUCUGACGUUAGCGGCGGACGGGUGAGUAACACGUGGAUAACCUACCUAUAAGACUGGGAUAACUUCGGGAAACCGGAGCUAAUACCGGAUAAUAUAUUGAACCGCAUGGUUCAAUAGUGAAAGACGGUUUUGCUGUCACUUAUAGAUGGAUCCGCGCCGCAUUAGCUAGUUGGUAAGGUAACGGCUUACCAAGGCAACGAUGCGUAGCCGACCUGAGAGGGUGAUCGGCCACACUGGAACUGAGACACGGUCCAGACCCCUACGGGAGGCAGCAGUAGGGAAUCUUCCGCAAUGGGCGAAAGCCUGACGGAGCAACGCCGCGUGAGUGAUGAAGGUCUUCGGAUCGUAAAACUCUGUUAUUAGGGAAGAACAAAUGUGUAAGUAACUAUGCACGUCUUGACGGUACCUAAUCAGAAAGCCACGGCUAACUACGUG
rnacentral:rRNA from 1 species